AAUGCUUUUUUAAAAAUCUCUCUUUUGUAGUUGUUCAGAUUCUGCAAAUCAAAACCCAGCUGCACUCACCUGGCAGAUUAGCAGCGGCAGAAGGGGCAGAGAGAGGACUUGGCCGGGAAAUGCGUCUGUGAGGUGCUAUAAAAAAAACCCUACCCUUGGCGUGGGAUUUCUGGCACAGGGCCAAGCCUGAGGAAGCCGCAUCAGUGGGAACAUCCAGAACCGAACAUGAUGGCAAUCUGGAAGAACGCUGCAGAGGGAGAAGGAUGCACGGAUGAGCAAAUGGAUUUCUUGCCUCGAUACCUAGCAAGAGAAUGUGAAACUGCGCCUGUUGGAGCCACAGACAAUGGACGAGCUAGAACUGCACCGCUUGCACAAGGGGAAUAUGCAGCUGACUCCCUACCGCUAUUCAGAAGAUGGAAAAAUCCUGGCGUUGAACAAGGUGGAGAUUGAGGGCCUCACAUGUCACCUAAUCUGCCUGGCUAGGCUGGCUGGCGUGACGGCAAAUUGUAUUUCUGCUCCAAGAAGUAUAGAAGGUGACUGCCGGUGAGAUCUGCUCUCUACAGACCUACAGCAAUGCUUCCCGAGGCCUCCCCUCCAAAUGCAGAGUAGUUUUGUAAGGGAUUGACAACUACUGCCAAAACCUCUAUGCCCUGAAGCCAGCAAGUGGAAACGUUUCCGUUUCUCCUCUGGAUCUGACCCGAAGUCCCGGGACCCGAUGCCAUUCUGAAGAUUUAUUAGUGAAUCCUUCAUCUGCAAGACAAGAAAUUUCUCCACUGUGAUGCCACCCUAGCAGCAAGAGCGCGUCGACAUUUCCUUCCCCAUCAGUGCCUCCUCCUUCCACAACUCUCUCCUUGACGUGCAUGGACCUUGGGAGGUGACAGAGAAGCUGCGGUGUCCUGCAAAGAGCCCUUGGGACCUGCUGCCCCCCACUACAUCAGAAGAUGGAUCUAAUGGGAGAUGGUAGCGGAGGGGACACACCUGAUGGACUACAGUGGAACCAGAAGCUGUUGUAGCGUUGGUGGAACCGAAGGCCUGUUUGCCAGAGGGGACAGUCAGGACAGCAGGCGGCGUGCUCUCAUUGCCUGGGAGAUGAGUCUACCGACAGAUGGCACCGAGGCCACUGACGGGGAGUAAUGCACUGCAGUGUAAUGCAGCACAGGCGUUCUUUUAAAUGGCAGGUAAGUGUAGAUAUCAAGACCCUCCCUUCAGGCCUAAUUAAUCCUGAAGAACAAGGCUGGAGGCUGCUGAGUGGAGCAGAAUCAGAGCAGAUGCAAGCCCUCAAGGCACUGCUGGGAGGACGAGCAGGACUGGCUGCCCAGAGCUGCCACUCAGGGCCUCGGGCAGCUGCCAGUGGUGAGCCUGGUGAGGAGGUGGAACCUAGCCAGCCAAGGCCAGGAUAAAUCUCAGACGAGGAGAGCGACGCAAGGAGCGUAGCGACGAGGAGCGUUGGCAGUUAGCGGCGGCAGGAAGGCACGGCAAGCGGCACCCCACUCUGCCUGUUUCUCCUGAGAGGCUCCAGUAGAGAUUUUUCAAGCCUCCUUUAUGGAAUUCCUUGUGUUAGUAAGAGAGCUCAUCUGCAGCUACAACUUGCUUCUUGGGUAAGUUCCUCCUCUCUCCCUGGCAAUGUAAUCUAAUAGUCUAACUCGUUCCCCUCUUACCUUAGCAAACAGGCAGAGUGGGGUGCUGCUUGCCGCGCCUUCCUGCCG